UACACUCCUGCGGGAGGCAGCAGUGGGGAAUUUUGGACAAUGGGCGAAAGCCUGAUCCAGCAAUGCCGCGUGAGUGAAGAAGGCCUUCGGGUUGUAAAGCUCUUUUGUCAGGGAAGAAACGGUGAGAGCUAAUAUCUUUUGCUAAUGACGGUACCUGAAGAAUAAGCACCGGCUAACUACGUGCCAGCAGCCGCGGUAAUACGUAGGGUGCAAGCGUUAAUCGGAAUUACUGGGCGUAAAGCGUGCGCAGGCGGUUUUGUAAGUCUGAUGUGAAAUCCCCGGGCUCAACCUGGGAAUUGCAUUGGGGACUGUAAGGCUAGAAUCUGGCAGAGGGGGGUAGAAUUCCACGUGUAGCAGUGAAAUGCGUAGGUAUGUGGAGGAACACCGAUGGCGAAGGCAGUCCCCUGGGUCAAGAUUGACGCUCAUGCACGAAAGCGUGGGGAGCAAACAGGAUUAGAUACCCUGGUAGUCCCAUGA
rnacentral:rRNA from 1 species